rnacentral:rRNA from 1 species
AGUGAACGCUGGCGGUAGGCCUAACACAUGCAAGUCGAACGGCAGCGCAGUAAGAGCUUGCUCUUACGGGUGGCGAGUGGCGGACGGGUGAGGAAUACAUCGGAAUCUACUUUUUCGUGGGGGAUAACGUAGGGAAACUUACGCUAAUACCGCAUACGACCUACGGGUGAAAGCAGGGGAUCUUCGGACCUUGCGCGAUUGAAUGAGCCGAUGUCGCAUUAGCUAGUUGGCGGGGUAAAGGCCCACCAAGGCGACGAUCCGUAGCUGGUCUGAGAGGAUGAUCAGCCACACUGGAACUGAGACACGGUCCAGACUCCUACGGGAGGCAGCAGUGGGGAAUAUUGGACAAUGGGCGCAAGCCUGAUCCAGCCAUACCGCGUGGGUGAAGAAGGCCUUCGGGUUGUAAAGCCCUUUUGUUGGGAAAGAAAAGCAGCAGGUUAAUACCCCGCUGUUCUGACGGUACCCAAAGAAUAAGCACCGGCUAACUUCGUG